ACUCCUACGGGUGGCUGCAGUGGGGAAUAUUGGACAAUGGGGGCAACCCUGAUCCAGCAAUGCCGCGUGUGUGAAGAAGGCCUUAGGGUUGUAAAGCACUUUCGUUAGUGAAGAAAGGUUUAUGGUUAAUACCUGUGAAUUUGACAUUAGCUAAAGAAGAAGCACCGGCUAACUCCGUGCCAGCAGCCGCGGUAAUACGGAGGGUGCAAGCGUUAUUCGGAAUGACUGGGCGUAAAGCGCACGCAGGCGGUUAUUUAAGUCAGAUGUGAAAGCCCCGGGCUUAACCUGGGAAUUGCAUUUGAAACUGGGUAACUAGAGUAUGUCAGAGGAAGGCGGAAUUUCCAGUGUAGCAGUGAAAUGCGUAGAGAUUGGAAGGAACACCGAUGGCGAAGGCAGCCUUCUGGGGCAAUACUGACGCUCAUGUGCGAAAGCGUGGGUAGCAAACAGGAUUAGAUACCCUGGUAGUCCACGCCCUAAACGAUGUCAACUAGGUGUUGGGCACUUAAGUGCUCGGUACCGCAGCUAACGCAUUAAGUUGACCGCCUGGGGAGUACGGCCGCAAGGUUGAAACUCAAAGAAAUUGACGGGGACCCGCACAAGCGGUGGAGCAUGUGGUUUAAUUCGAUGCAACGCGAAGAACCUUACCAGGCCUUGACAUCCAGAGAACUAAGCAGAGAUGCUAUGGUGCCUUCGGGAACUCUGAGACAGGUGUUGCAUGGUUGUCGUCAGCUCGUG
rnacentral:rRNA from 1 species